GCGCAUUUGUAUAAUUAUUACUGAAGAGACAAAAGUUUAACGUCCAAAUGACCCAAAAACAAAGUAUCUGUCUAAAGCCAACAAUUUUUUAAAAUUUAAUUGGCCAUUAUAUUUUUGCAUUAACACAAUAUUCAUUAUGAAUAACAUUUAUUUUGAAUAAUAUGAAAUAUUUAAAAAGCAAUUGUGUUAAGAAUUUUUAUACUCA
rnacentral:lncRNA from 1 species